CCUCUCAUGGCGUAGUGGUAACGCGCCCCAACUAGAGAUCAAGGAUUCGUGAGUUCGAUUCUCACUGAGAAGA
rnacentral:tRNA from 1 species